GACGAACGCUGGCGGCGUGCUUAACACAUGCAAGUCGAGCGGUAAGGCCCUUUCGGGGGUACACGAGCGGCGAACGGGUGAGUAACACGUGGGUGACCUGCCCUCAGCUCUGGGAUAAGCCUGGGAAACCGGGUCUAAUACUGGAUAUGACUCCAUGACGCAUGUUGUGGGGUGGAAAGCCUUGUGCGGCUGAGGAUGGGCCCGCGGCCUAUCAGCUUGUUGGUGGGGUGAGGCCUACCAAGGCGACGACGGGUAGCCGGCCUGAGAGGGCGACCGGCCACACUGGGACUGAGACACGGCCCAGACUCCUACGGGAGGCAGCAGUGGGGAAUCUUAGCGCAAAUGGGCGAAAAGCCUGACGCAGCGACGCCGCGUGAGGGAUGACGGCCU
rnacentral:rRNA from 1 species